rnacentral:lncRNA from 1 species
CUUCCCUCUCCAGCACCCUCCAUCCCAUACCUCCUGAGGAAGGCAAAAGAUCCCAGAGGCACCUACCUGCGUGCAGGGUGAGCUUCCAAAAGAGAGUCUGCUUAGGUGUGACUCAUGAACCAGCAGCAUCAACAUCAUCUGGACGUUUUUAGAAAUGCAGACGCUCAGGUGCUACCCAGAUCCAAGAAGGAAUCUGCACUUUAACAAGAUACCCAAGUAAUUAAGAACCAUGGCCAGGCGCGGUGGCUCACGCCUGUAAUCCCAGCACUUUGGAGGCCGAGGCAGGUGGAUCAUCUGAGGUCGGGAGUUCAAGACCAGCCUGAUCAACAUGGAGAAACCCCAUCUGUAUUAAAAUACAAAAUUAGCCAGGCGUGGCGGUGCAUGCCUGUAA